GGAGAGGUGGCUCAGAGGUUAAGAGCACUGACUAUUCUUCCAGAGGUCCUGAGUUCAAUUCCCAGCAACUACA
rnacentral:tRNA from 1 species